UCCUUUUCCCCUGCACUCCACUCUUCUCCCCUCCCUCUUUUUCCCAAUCUCUGCCUUGCUUAUUUUCCGCAGAGAACCCCAAGUAGGCGGUAGAGGAGCGUGUCAGUGGUGUGUGUGUGUGUUUGUGUAUGUGUGUGUGUGUGUGCGCGCGCUCACUGUAGCCAGGAUUCCUCCUCCUCCUCCUCCUCCUCCUCCUCCUCCUCCUAAGAAGAGAGCUCGAGUGGAAACUGCUCCUGGACACCAUCUGCCUCUUCCGGGAGCUGGACAGGAGGGGAGGGGGCACGCAACUAAAAACGGGUUUCAAGAAAAUAUUUCAAGUUGGACCCAGCAGGAAGAACUGCUCUAUGUCUGUGAAUUGAGAAAAGAUUGUGUACUUGCAAGAAGGUUAUUGCUGUCUAGAGUUCCAUGACUGUUGUGCCAUGAGAGCAUAGGAAAAAUGAUUGGAUUGUGGAAGCUGCUGAAUCUCUUGAUGUAAACUCCAUUCAAGUUUUCUGGAGAAGAGCAACCUGUUAAACUUUAGUACAGUAACUUUUAUGGAUUUUAAUAUAUUUGAAACCUGAAUCUUUAGUUUGCUGGUAGCAAGGCAUAAUCUGACCUCUUCGAAGAAAAUGAUCAAGGUCUCAUGCAACCAUUAUUUUUUCUGGAAACUAUUCUUCAGAAGGGAAGUAUACAUGUAAAUAGAAGAUAUGAUCAUGCUUCCUGUAGUCAUUUA
rnacentral:lncRNA from 1 species